CCGAGUCGCACUAGAUAAAUAUUUCGAAUGAAACAAGCACACGUCGGACACCAAAACCGUUGGAAGGGGAAGAAGCGGUUUUCGUUUUUCCUCGAGUUUAAACACAACUUUCUGGUGACUAGCGCAGAACCUUGGGGGAUGCCGGAGACGCGUAUUAAAGGUCAAUCUUAAGACGUCGUCUGUACGCAAGAGCCUUAAUCAUAUCCACGUUUUUCAAUUUUAAACCUAUUCUCAAGUCCACCGAGGCCUCCUUUCUGAAGAGCGGCGUCACGUCUUCAAAGCUGUUUAGAAAUGAUUCGCGUAACGCAAACUGAUACUACGCGCUUCGACCGAACAUUAGAAACGUUAGUAUUCCGAGGAAAAGUAUGGGUUAUUUAGUGUAAUAAUAACGCCAGUGAAGGAUUUCAGUUACACGAUGGAAAAACUCAAACUCAUGACGCGUACGUAAAACACGUCUUUUGACUGUUUGUCACUUUUAUCAUGUGACUGUUAUAGUAUAUCAAAUCACGAAAUAAAAACUACAAAAAAAAAAACAACAAAACAAAAACAUUUUGUAAUGUUUUCCGUUCCAAUUUAUAGCCUAGUUUCUUAUUCCUGAUGUCAGUUGAUGAAUUUGAUGAAUCAAGUCCUGGCUCGUUCCAAGUAAAUAACGGCGUCCCUCCUGACUCCUGAAACAUAAUCGGUUCCUGUGCAUUGUUUGCGAUCUCUCUGUGGAUUUGUUUGUUUGUUUGUUUGUUUGUUCACUCCUUUUUACAAUUCUGUGAUCUACUGCGAAUGCACUUUAUUUUACGUCGGAAUGGAUCUUCUUUUACAUGGACGUAUAAUAUGUACUGUAUUCAUUUACCACGUAGAGAAAUGUACACCGAAAUGCAGAUAUUCUGUUUAACGUGAAUGUUUUAGAGAGGAAAAUAAAGGAACAGUCAUUGAUUAUGGACCGAUUAUUUACUUGCGCUGUCGGUUAUCUCACUCUCACUGUUCUUUCUUUCUUUCUUUCUAUUUAUUUACAAGCGCUUUUGAUUAUCAGUCGAUGCAGACGUGCCGCCUGUUUGUGUGACCAAAUGAAUAAACUGAUCUUGAUUAGAAGGUUUAAAAAAAAACGUUUUUUUUUUAUGACUUUAGCGUAACACCACGAAUCUACUAAAAACAUGUACUACUGAUUUGUUUGUCCGAUUAUUCAGCGCUCA
ensembl:lncRNA